CAAAGACAAACUAGCAGCCAGCCACACAACGCGGAUCCAGGUCAGCUGGGAGAGAUGGCGGCGUUCCACCCACAGCACCCUCUAGCAACAUGCUACUACAGCGAGGCGUCGAACUUCCACUGCGCCGCGUGCGAGCGCAGAGUCACCGGCGACGGCUACCGCUGCCGCAAGCGCGAGUGUGCCUUCCACAUCCACGAGGCGUGCGCCAAGCUCCCGUUCCAGACCUCCUUAGACCAGCACUG
rnacentral:rRNA from 1 species